GCGGGCGUAGCUCAAUGGUAGGGCGGAAGCCUUCCAAGCUUUCUACGCGGGUUCGAUUCCUGUCGCCCACUCCA
rnacentral:tRNA from 1 species